UACGGGGUGGGCAAGCGUUGUUCGGAAUUACUGGGCGUAAAGGGCUCGUAGGUGGCCAACUAAGUCAGACGUGAAAUCCCUCAGCUUAACUGGGGAACUGCGUCUGAUACUGGAUGGCUUGAGUUUGGGAGAGGGAUGCGGAAUUCCAGGUGUAGCGGUGAAAUGCGUAGAUAUCUGGAGGAACACCGGUGGCGAAGGCGGCAUCCUGGACCAACACUGACACUGAGGAGCGAAAGCCAGGGGAGCAAACGGG
rnacentral:rRNA from 1 species